rnacentral:misc_RNA from 1 species
AUACACAGUACACUUCCAUUCUCUUCAUCCCCCUCGCCAGCUGUUUGUUACGUUUGGGAUUUUAUUUUUAAAGCUCCUCUUCCCUUCUCCUCUUCUCGUCUGCUCCUCUCCUACUUUGUCAAGCUCGCCAUAAUUCUCUCCUUCCCAAUCCCUACCAAAACCCUAAGAUCCGUACAUCCAAAUACACUGCAUUGGCUGAUCCAUCUCUCGAUCCGGUGCUUCCAGUACUCGCAUUCGCAGCCGUCUGAUCUGCAGCCUUCAGCUGAGAGAGGUAGAGUUCUAUAUAACGCUGCAAUGACGGCGGAUGUGAAUGUUAGCGAGAACGUUUCAACCAGUGAAACGGAGGACAAGGGUGGGUUGGAUAUGAGUAGCUAUGAGGACUUGCCGACACCUGCUGCUGAUUGCAAUGGGGUUAAGGACGGGAAUGGGAAUGCGGAGGAUGAUCCCGAUGCCUCCUACGUUUUCGUAGCUGGAAACGACACAGUUCCUGAUGAACCUGCUGACUCCGCCGAUCUCAAUGGCAAGUAUGAACCCGUUUACAAUGUCGUUUCUGAUGAUAACGACAUUGAGAAUGAGGCCGCGGAAUCUGAGGUUGAUCAUGUGAUUGAGGAUGUCAAAGCUGCUGCGGUAGAGGGGGAUGCUAGUUCUCCCCUUAAUAUUGUGGUCACUUCUAAUGAUGGGAAAGAAGGAGAUGAUGAUGCUGUUGAAGUUCCUAAUGGAACGGUGCCUAUUGUUGGACCUGAGGCCCUGAAUGAUCAAAGGGAAGUUGAAGAGGGGAAUGUUAAUCUGGAUUCACCUGGAGGUCUGAAGGGGACUCAGGACCUUUCAGAGGCCGUUGAACCUGAACCUGAAUUUUUGCAGGUUAAAUUUGGUGAUGCGAAGGCUGGGGAGGAAAACAGUAUGGAGUCAAUUGUAUCUAAGGAAUCUCAAGUCAAGACUAGUACAGAUGUUGCUGAAUCAGAGCCAAAUCAAUCUGGUAAUGUUGAGCUCACAAUCA